GGAGCCCCAGCCCCAGGAUUCACAGGUGUUUCCACUGAGUUUUCAGGGCUGAAAAAGGAAACUCGCCAUGGAGUUUGGGCUUUGCUGGGUUUUCCUUGUUGCUAUUUUAGAAGGUGUCCAGUGUGAGGUGCAGCUGGUGGAGUCUGGGGGAGGCUUGGUUCAGCCUGGGGGGUCCCUGAGACUCUCCUGUGCAGCUUCUGGAUUCACGUUCAGUGACUAUGGCAUGAACUGGUUUCGCCAGGCUCCGAGUAAGGGACUUGAGUGGGUCUCAUACAUUAGAUAUGAUGGUGGUAGCACAAACUACGCAGACUCCGUGAAGGGCCGAUUCACCACCUCCAGAGACAAUGCCAAGAACUCGCUGUAUCUGCAGAUGAACAGCCUGAGAGCCGAGGACACGGCCGUGUAUUACUGUGCGGGACAGAGUGAGGGGAAGUCAGUGUGA